rnacentral:rRNA from 1 species
CCCUUAGAUGUUCUGGGCCGCACGCGCGCUACACUGAUUCAUGCAACAAGUUUUGUCCUUGGCUGGUAGGCCUGGGUAAUCUUUGAACGUGAAUCGUGAUGGGGAUAGAUGAUUGCAAUUAUUCAUCUUCAACGAGGAAUUCCUAGUAAACGCAAGUCAUCAGCUUGCAUUGAUUACGUCCCUGCCCUUUGUACACACCGCCCGUCGCACCUGCCGAUUGAAUGGUCCGGUGAAAUCUUCGGAUCUGAGAGAUGUCUGAUUAAUUUCGGACGCCUUUUGGAAAAGUUGUUUAAACCUUACCAUUUAGAGGAAGGUGAAGUCGUANCA